rnacentral:sRNA from 1 species
ACCUCCAGAGGGACUGUCCUUGGUAACAUACUGUCUUUCAGGUGGCCGAAGACUACCCCCCACCUUACACCACCAUGUUCUAUAGUUCUCGAAUAGCUGCUGUGAUACUUUGGCUCACCUCCACCGAGUAUUUUCCAACUGAUUUCAGAAUUAUGAAUCAAAGUCCAAAAAACAAAAAAGGUGGGAGACAGAAAUGAAGUUGGCACAAUAAUACCUAAGGUAUCUGACAGUAAUGUCAUCAUAGAGAAGGAGGCAGAGAAGGGAGACUGCCCAUAUGGGCCUUCCUACCUCAUCUUCCUCACUUUAUAGCUCUGCUAAGCUCCCGUCACACUCAGCUGCCAUCCUCAGGGCAAAUUAAAGACAACAGUUGAGCAAAACUGCCCAAGUUCAUUUCAACUUUCUGAUCCAGAGAACAAAGCUGGACCUGUUCUCUUCAUGACUCANUGAAGAUGACAUGUUCUUUGUCAGGAUACAGGAAGAGCGCCACAGCAGCCACUGCCUUCUCCACUCAACCGUCCUUGAUAGUUCAUUCUACUGUUUUACACAGUGCUGUAGUCCGUGCAACCAGGAACCUUCUGUAAACGAAGAGGGGCAUUAUCUAGAACCUCUGUGUGAAAGUAAGUUUGUCUCCUCCACGGUGACUACUAGAAUCCAGAAACUAUUGUGUUCCCAGCUAGUGAGACCCAGUUAAUAAAAUUAUUGUAAACACUCCAGCAUGCACAUGUGUUCAUACUCAGCGUACAUGUCUUAACAAAGAAACCCAAGUCACAAGUUCCCAUCCCACACUGGACUAGAGACUAGCAGUACUCUGGGCCCCUCUGUAAGUCAACUCCCUAUGCUAGGUGUGUCCACACAACAUCAAGGUCUGCUAGGAUCAGUUAAACCCACUGCGCAUGCCAGAGAGUCUUCCUUGUUUUGAACUGUGUGUUAGAUAAGAAGAACCAGCUCUCUGCAGAUAAAGUGGAGCAUGUUAUAUGACCCUUCCGGAGAUCCCCUCCCUAAGCUGCCACAUUUAUCGAUUUGGUAUGUGUCCUGGCCCAUGUUUAUCACUUCACUCCAUCUCCAUUUCCAUCUCCAUUUGUCCCCAAUACAUCUCUUAAAUGCUGUCAUAUUGCCUGCAUUGUUCUGCACUUCUUUUUUCCAUUUAAAAUAAUGUUUAUAAGAUAAACUCACAUUGA